CNNNGNNGGGGUGCUUACACAUGCAAGUCGAACGGUGAAGCGGAGCUUGCUCCGCGGAUCAGUGGCGAACGGGUGAGUAACACGUGAGCAACCUACCCUUGACUCUGGGAUAACAGUUGGAAACAGCUGCUAAUACCGGAUAUGACCUCUGAAGACAUCUUCGGAGGUGGAAAGCUCCGACGGUCAAGGAUGGGCUCGCGGCCUAUCAGCUUGUUGGUGGGGUAACGGCCCACCAAGGCGACGACGGGUAGCCGGCCUGAGAGGGCGACCGGCCACACUGGGACUGAGAUACGGCCCAUACUCCUACGGGAGGCAGCAGUGGGGAAUAUUGCACAAUGAGCGAAAGCCCUGAUGCAGCC
rnacentral:rRNA from 1 species